rnacentral:rRNA from 2 species
GAAGGUGGCCUGUGAGGGUUGCUGGAGGUAUCAGAAGUGCGAAUGCUGACAUAAGUAACGAUAAAGCGGGUGAAAAGCCCGCUCGCCGGAAGACCAAGGGUUCCUGUCCAACGUUAAUCGGGGCAGGGUGAGUCGACCCCUAAGGCGAGGCCGAAAGGCGUAGUCGAUGGGAAACGGGUUAAUAUUCCCGUACUUGGUGUUACUGCGAAGGGGGGACGGAGAAGGCUAUGUUGGCCGGGCGACGGUUGUCCCGGUUUAAGCGUGUAGGUGUGUGUUCCAGGUAAAUCCGGUUCACUUUAACACUGAGGCGUGACGACGAGGCACUACGGUGCUGAAGCAACAAAUGCCCUGCUUCCAGGAAAAGCCUCUAAGCAUCAGGUAACAUCAAAUCGUACCCCAAACCGACACAGGUGGUCAGGUAGAGAAUACCAAGGCGCUUGAGAGAACUCGGGUGAAGGAACUAGGCAAAAUGGUGCCGUAACUUCGGGAGAAGGCACGCUGACACGUAGGUGAAGUGAUUUACUCAUGGAGCUGAAGUCAGUCGAAGAUACCAGCUGGCUGCAACUGUUUAUUAAAAACACAGCACUGUGCAAACACGAAAGUGGACGUAUACGGUGUGACGCCUGCCCGGUGCCGGAAGGUUAAUUGAUGGGGUCAGCGCAAGCGAAGCUCCUGAUCGAAGCCCCGGUAAACGGCGGCCGUAACUAUAACGGUCCUAAGGUAGCGAAAUUCCUUGUCGGGUAAGUUCCGACCUGCACGAAUGGCGUAAUGAUGGCCAGGCUGUCUCCACCCGAGACUCAGUGAAAUUGAACUCGCUGUGAAGAUGCAGUGUACCCGCGGCAAGACGGAAAGACCCCGUGAACCUUUACUAUAGCUUGACACUGAACAUUGAGCCUUGAUGUGUAGGAUAGGUGGGAGGCUUUGAAGUGUGGACGCCAGUCUGCAUGGAGCCGACCUUGAAAUACCACCCUUUAAUGUUUGAUGUUCUAACGUGGACCCGUAAUCCGGGUUGCGGACAGUGUCUGGUGGGUAGUUUGACUGGGGCGGUCUCCUCCUAAAGAGUAACGGAGGAGCACGAAGGUUGGCUAAUCCUGGUCGGACAUCAGGAGGUUAGUGCAAUGGCAUAAGCCAGCUUGACUGCGAGCGUGACGGCGCGAGCAGGUGCGAAAGCAGGUCAUAGUGAUCCGGUGGUUCUGAAUGGAAGGGCCAUCGCUCAACGGAUAAAAGGUACUCCGGGGAUAACAGGCUGAUACCGCCCAAGAGUUCAUAUCGACGGCGGUGUUUGGCACCUCGAUGUCGGCUCAUCACAUCCUGGGGCUGAAGUAGGUCCCAAGGGUAUGGCUGUUCGCCAUUUAAAGUGGUACGCGAGCUGGGUUUAGAACGUCGUGAGACAGUUCGGUCCCUAUCUGCCGUGGGCGCUGGAGAACUGAGGGGGGCUGCUCCUAGUACGAGAGGACCGGAGUGGACGCAUCACUGGUGUUCGGGUUGUCAUGCCAAUGGCACUGCCCGGUAGCUAAAUGCGGAAGAGAUAAGUGCUGAAAGCAUCUAAGCACGAAACUUGCCCCGAGAUGAGUUCUCCCUGAGACUUAGAGUCUCCUGAAGGAACGUUGAAGACGACGACGUUGAUAGGCCGGGUGUGUAAGCGCAGCGAUGCGUUGAGCUAACCGGUACUAAUGAACCGUGAGGCUUAACCUU